CUCCAAUAGCGUAUAUUAAAGUUGUUGCAGUUAAAAAGCUCGUAGUUGAAUUUCGGGAUCAAUACGUCGGUCGUGCUUCGGUACGUACUGGCGUCAUUGAUUUCUCCCUUCUGACGAACCAUGAUGUCAUUAACUUGGUGUCAUGGGAAAUCAGGACUGUUACUUUGAAAAAAUUAGAGUGUUUAAAGCAGGCUCGCGCUUGAAUACAUUAGCAUGGAAUAAUGAAAUAGGACGUUCGAUCCUAUUUUGUUGGUUUCUAGGAUUGACGUAAUGAUUAAUAGGGAUAGUUGGGGGCAUUAGUAUUCAAUUGUCAGAGGUGAAAUUCUUGGAUUUAUUGAAGACUAACUACUGCGAAAGCAUUUGCCAAGGAUGUUUUCAUUAAUCAAGAACGAAAGUUAGGGGAUCGAAGACGAUCAGAUACCGUCGUAGUCUUAACC
rnacentral:rRNA from 1 species